CCAGCCUGAGCUGCAUGGACUCCACACUGGGAUGAGGAGAGGCCUGCUGUUGCUGUGUGACACUGAUUUUGCUGCUGCACUUUGUCUUUUAGAAAUAAAUCCAGUUUCCAGCCAGUCUGUGUCUGUCGUCACAACGCAGUCAACCAUUUGAAAUCUGCUACAUAAAAGUGGUGCCGUGACCCGGAUUGAUCUGAUCAGCCGCUGCCGAUCGCUGAGGUUGAGCUGGACACUUCUGACACCUGCGAUAUCAGCCAAAUUAUCUUGUGGAUCCUUUUCAAAAAAAUCCUCAGUGUUUUGUUAGUAGGCAUUUCUCCAAGAUACACGUGUUAGAGUUUAACUGGGCUACAUUUACAUGUAUUGUAUUUUUCUGGGUGAUAAGCACUUUCGUAUUUUUUUUGUUUCCAAUUCUUUUUGUAGUUCUUGUUAAUUUACUGUACGUAACAUGACUGGUAGGGGCCAAGGCUCCUUUAACCUUUUCACACCAGUUGCUGGGAGAGGUUGGAGACUGUCUGGGGUAGAUGAAGUUAGGGACAGAUCCAAAAUGUCUCAUGAUGAGCCAUCAGAAUCAGAUGACAUUAUCCAAAAUAAUAAUCUAGGACGAGAGUCACAAGAGUGAAUGCACAUUGAGCAACAUAUGCUAAACUGUGGCAUGUAAAAAUGCAGCAAGUGCAACAUUGGGAUUCUUUCUGUGUUUAUGUAUAUUUUACCCUAAAAUUUGCUCAGCAUUUUGA